AUGGAGGGGGAGGAGCAGCCACCGCAGGAGGCCGACGCGGAGCCUGUGGUGACGGCAGGGGCUUCGGAGCCAGUGCCCAGGGUGCUCCCUGGAGAAGCUCAGAACCCGUCCGAUGUGGACGCCUUCAACCUGCUCCUGGAAAUGAAGCUGAAGCGGCGGCGUGAGCGGCCCAACCUGCCGCACACCGUGACCCAGCUGGUGGCCCAGGACGGGAGCAGGGUGUCUGUGGUGGGCACGGCCCACUUCAGUGACGACAGCAAGAGCGACGUCGUGCAGACCAUCCGCGGGGUGCAGCCCGACGUGGCGGUGGUGGAGCUCUGCCAGUACCGCGUGUCCAUGCUGAAGAUGGACGAGAGCACGUGGCUGCGCGAGGCCAAGAUCAGCCUGGAGAAGCUGCAGCAGGCCGUGAGGCAGAACGGGCUCAUGUCGGGACUCAUGCAGAUGCUGUGCUGAAGGUGUCGGCGCACAUCACCGAGCAGCUGGGCAUGGCCCCCGGCGGCGGGGAGUUCAGGGAGGCCUUUAAGGAGGCCAGCAGGGUGCCUUUCUGCAAGUUCCACCUGGGCGAACGGCCCAUCCCCCUCACCUUCAAGAGAGCCAUCGCCACGCUCUCCUUCUGGCAGAAGGUCAAGCUGGCCUGGGGCCUGUGCUUCCUGUCAGACCCAAUCAGCAAGGACGACGUGGAGCGCUGCAAGCAGAAGGACCUGCUGGAGCAGAUGAUGGCCGAGAUGAUUGGCGAGUUCCCCGACCUGCACCGCACCGUCGUCUCGGAGCGAGACGUCUACCUGACCUACAUGCUGCGCCAGGCCGCCCAGCGCCUCGAGCUGCGUCGCUCCUCUGACGCCGAGCUCAGGAAGCGCGUCCCCGCCGUGGUUGUGGGAGUCGUGGGCAUGGGCCACGUGCCCGGCAUUGAGAAGAACUGGAGCACCGACCUCAACAUCCAGGAGAUCAUGACCGUCCCGCCGCCGUCCAUCUCCUGCAGAGUGUCCCCGCUGGCUGUAAAGUCCACCUUCUUCGGCCUGCUGGGCUACGGCCUGUACUGGAAGGGCCGCCGCACUGUGAGCCUGGUGCUGUCGCUGCCGGCCCUGCCUCUAGAGGGCGGCCGCGGCCCGACCACACAAAUAGGAAGCAACGCCCAGGGAGCGACCACAGCCGGGGUGGUGGCUGCUCACGUGGUUGCUGAGGGGCUCCUGAGGAGCCUGCACCACCUGCGGAAGCACCCUGAGCGCCGAGCCCACCCGAGGCCCUUCCACCUCCCGUGGGGGUCCAGGCCAAGCCGUCCCUGCACCCCCGUCCACACCACCCAGAUAAAGGAUUAUUUAACUGUCUGA